rnacentral:rRNA from 1 species
GACGAACGCUGGCGGCGUGCUUAACACAUGCAAGUCGAACGGAAAGGCCCCUUCGGGGGUACUCGAGUGGCGAACGGGUGAGUAACACGUGGGCAAUCUGCCCUGCACUUCGGGAUAAGCCUGGGAAACUGGGUCUAAUACCGGAUAGGACCUUUAGACGCAUGUCUCUUGGUGGAAAGCUUUUGCGGUGUGGGAUGGGCCCGCGGCCUAUCAGCUUGUUGGUGGGGUGAUGGCCUACCAAGGCGACGACGGGUAGCCGGCCUGAGAGGGUGUCCGGCCACACUGGGACUGAGAUACGGCCCAGACUCCUACGGGAGGCAGCAGUGGGGAAUAUUGCACAAUGGGCGCAAGCCUGAUGCAGCGACGCCGCGUGGGGGAUGACGGCCUUCGGGUUGUAAACCUCUUUCACCAUCGACGAAGGUUCGGGUUUUCUCGGAUUGACGGUAGGUGGAGAAGAAGCACCGGCCAACUACGUGCCAGCAGCCGCGGUAAUACGUAGGGUGCGAGCGUUGUCCGGAAUUACUGGGCGUAAAGAGCUCGUAGGUGGUUUGUCGCGUUGUUCGUGAAAUCUCACGGCUUAACUGUGAGCGUGCGGGCGAUACGGGCAGACUAGAGUACUGCAGGGGAGACUGGAAUUCCUGGUGUAGCGGUGGAAUGCGCAGAUAUCAGGAGGAACACCGGUGGCGAAGGCGGGUCUCUGGGCAGUAACUGACGCUGAGGAGCGAAAGCGUGGGGAGCGAACAGGAUUAGAUACCCUGGUAGUCCACGCCGUAAACGGUGGGUACUAGGUGUGGGUUUCCUUCCUUGGGAUCCGUGCCGUAGCUAACGCAUUAAGUACCCCGCCUGGGGAGUACGGCCGCAAGGCUAAAACUCAAAGGAAUUGACGGGGGCCCGCACAAGCGGCGGAGCAUGUGGAUUAAUUCGAUGCAACGCGAAGAACCUUACCUGGGUUUGACAUGCACAGGACGCGUCUAGAGAUAGGCGUUCCCUUGUGGCCUGUGUGCAGGUGGUGCAUGGCUGUCGUCAGCUCGUGUCGUGAGAUGUUGGGUUAAGUCCCGCAACGAGCGCAACCCUUGUCUCAUGUUGCCAGCGGGUAAUGCCGGGGACUCGUGAGAGACUGCCGGGGUCAACUCGGAGGAAGGUGGGGAUGACGUCAAGUCAUCAUGCCCCUUAUGUCCAGGGCUUCACACAUGCUACAAUGGCCGGUACAAAGGGCUGCGAUGCCGCAAGGUUAAGCGAAUCCUUUUAAAGCCGGUCUCAGUUCGGAUUGGGGUCUGCAACUCGACCCCAUGAAGUCGGAGUCGCUAGUAAUCGCAGAUCAGCAACGCUGCGGUGAAUACGUUCCCGGGCCUUGUACACACCGCCC